rnacentral:rRNA from 1 species
AAUUCUUAGUGGCGAACGGGUGAGUAACGCGUAGGCAACCUGCCCUUUAGACGGGGACAACAUUCCGAAAGGAGUGCUAAUACCGGAUGUGAUCAUCUUGCCGCAUGGCAGGAUGAAGAAAGAUGGCCUCUACAAGUAAGCUAUCGCUAAAGGAUGGGCCUGCGUCUGAUUAGCUAGUUGGUGAGAUAACGGCCCACCAAGGCGACGAUCGGUAGCCGGACUGAGAGGUUGAACGGCCACAUUGGGACUGAGAUACGGCCCAGACUCC